AUUGAACGCUGGCGGCAUGCCCUACACAUGCAAGUCGAACGGCAGCAUGGAAGAGCUUGCUCUCCUGAUGGCGAGUGGCGAACGGGUGAGUAAAGCAUCGGAACGUACCGUGUAGUGGGGGAUAACGUAGCGAAAGUUACGCUAAUACCGCAUACGCACUGAGGUGGAAAGCAGGGGAUCGCAAGACCUUGCGCUAUACGAGCGGCCGAUGUCAGAUUAGCUAGUUGGUAGGGUAAAGGCCUACCAAGGCGACGAUCUGUAGCGGGUCUGAGGGGAUGAUCCGCCACACUGGGACUGAGACACGGCCCAGACUCCUACGGGAGGCAGCAGUGGGGAAUUUUGGACAAUGGGGGAAACCCUGAUCCAGCCAUGCCGCGUGAGUGAAGAAGGCCUUCGGGUUGUAAAGCUCUUUCGGCUGGGAAGAAAUCGCACAGGCUAAUACUCUGUGUGGAUGACGGUACCAGCAUAAGAAGCACCGGCUAACUACGUGCCAGCCGCCGCAGUAA
rnacentral:rRNA from 1 species